rnacentral:rRNA from 1 species
UGGGGAAUAUUGGACAAUGGAGGCAACUCUGAUCCAGCAAUUCUGUGUGUGUGAAGAAGGUUUUAGGACUGUAAAACACUUUUAGUAGGGAAGAAAGAAAUGACGGUACCUACAGAAGAAGCGACGGCUAAAUACGUGCCAGCAGCCGCGGUAAUACGUAUGUCGCGAGCGUUAUCCGGAAUUAUUGGGCUUAAAGGGCAUCUAGGCGGUUAAACAAGUUGAAGGUGAAAACCUGUGGCGCAACCAUAGUCUUGCCUACAAAACUGUAUAACUAGAGUACUGGAAAGGUGGGUGGAACUACACGAGUAGAGGUGAAAUUCGUAGAUAUGUGUAGGAAUGCCGAUGAUGAAGAUAACUCACUGGACAGCAACUGACGCUGAAGUGCGAAAGCUAGGGGAGCAAACAGG